GCUGGCGGCAUUUCUAACACAUGCAAGUCGAACGCACCGCAAGGUGAGUGGCGCACGGGUGAGUAACGUGUGCCAACCUGCCCCGGAGUGUGGGAUAACCCGGCGAAAGCCGGGCUAAUACCGCAUACGGCCUAUGGGCGAAAGAUUUAUCGCUCUGGGAGGGGCCCGCGUCGGAUUAGCUAGUUGGUGAGGUAACGGCUCACCAAGGCGAUGAUCCGUAGCUGGUCUGAGAGGAUGAUCAGCCACACUGGGACUGAGACACGGCCCAGACUCCUACGGGAGGCAGCAGUGG
rnacentral:rRNA from 1 species